rnacentral:rRNA from 1 species
CCACAUUGGGACUGAGACACGGCCCAGACUCCUACGGGAGCCAGCAGUGGGGAAUAUUGCACAAUGGGGGAAAUCCUGAUGCAGCGACGCCGCGUGAAGGAAGAAGUAUCUCGGUAUGUAAACUUCUAUCAGCAGGGAAGAUAGUGACGGUACCUGACUAAGAAGCCCCGGCUAACUACGUGCCAGCAGCCGCGGUAAUACGUAGGGGGCAAGCGUUAUCCGGAUUUACUGGGUGUAAAGGGAGCGUAGACGCUCUGGCAAGUCUGAUGUGAAAGGCAGGGGCUCAACCUGUGGACUGCAUUGGGAACUGUUAUACUUGAGUGCCGGAGGGGUCAAGCGGAAUUCCUAGUGUAGCGGUGAAAUGCGUAGAUAUUAGGAGGAACACCGGUGGCGAAGGCGG